GACGAACGCUGGCGGCGUGCUUAACACAUGCAAGUCGAACGAAGUGGCGAACGGGUGAGUAACGCGUAAUCAACCUGCCCUUCAGAGGGGGACAACAGUUGGAAACGACUGCUAAUACCGCAUACUGAAGGAGGGGAUUGCGUCUGAUUAGCUAGUUGGAGGGGUAACGGCCCACCAAGGCGAUGAUCAGUAGCCGGUCUUGUGGGGUGAACGGCCCCAUUGGGACUGGGACACGGCCCCGACUCCUACGGGAGGCAGCCGUGGGGAAUGUUCCGCAAUGGACGGAAGUCUGACGGGGCAACGCCGCGUGGGGGGUGACAGCCUUCGGGUUGUAAAGCUCUGUUAAUCGGGACGCGGUACCGGAAUAGGAAGCCACGGCUAACUACGUGCCAGCCGCCGCGGUAAUUC
rnacentral:rRNA from 1 species